GUAAGUUAUGUGUACUUUUUUGGAAACAAGUGAAUCACAGCCGAAAAAAUAAUUCUGAUCAAGUCGUACUAGUUUUCCUUAAUGACGCCUUAGAACCCAUUUGCCGGUCUAAACGAAACACCGGUGACCGGCGAAUGAAUUGAAGGACAUGGCUCAAGAAUACAAGCCCAAUUUGAGCAAGUAGUUUUCAAUUAAUUUGGUCAGACAAUCUAUUCUUCGGUUAUGAUUAACAUGUUGCCAAAAAGCUACAUAAACACUG
ensembl:snoRNA F21F12.3 ncRNA